AGCGCAGGUGGUUUAAUAAGUCUGAUGUAAAAGGCAGUGGCUCAACCAUUGUGUGCAUUGGAAACUGUUAGACUUGAGUGCAGUAGAGGAGAGUGGAAUUCCGUGUGUAGCGGUGAAAUGCGUAGAUAUAUGGAGGAACACCGGUGGCGAAAGCGGCUCUCUGGACUGUCACUGACACUGAGGCUCGAAAGCGUGGGGAGCAAACA
rnacentral:rRNA from 1 species